rnacentral:tRNA from 1 species
GAGGGUGUAGCUCAGUGGUAGAGCACAUGCUUAGCAUGCACAAGGUCCUGGGUUCAAUCCCCAGUACCUCCU